CCUACGGGAGGCAGCAGUGAGGAAUAUUGGUCAAUGGACGAGAGUCUGAACCAGCCAAGUAGCGUGAAGGAUGAAGGCUCUAUGUGUUGUAAACUUCUUUUAUAUGGGAAUAAAACAGGGUACGCGUCCCCGUUUGAGUGUACCAUAUGAAUAAGCAUCGGCUAACUCCGUGCCAGCAGCCGCGGUAAUACGGAGGAUGCGAGCGUUAUCCGGAUUUAUUGGGUUUAAAGGGAGCGUAGGUCGGUUUUUAAGUCAGUUGUGAAAGUUUGCGGCUCAACCGUAAAAUUGCAGUUGAAACUGGCAGUCUUGAGUGCAGUAGAGGUGGGCGGAAUUCGUGGUGUAGCGGUGAAAUGCUUAGAUAUCACGAAGAACUCCGAUUGCGAAGGCAGCUCACUGGGCUGCAACUGACACUGAUGCUCGAAAGUGGGGGUAUCAAACAGGAUUAGAUACCCCAGUAGUC
rnacentral:rRNA from 1 species